rnacentral:rRNA from 1 species
UACGGGGGGAGCAAGCGUUGUUCGGAUUUACUGGGCGUAAAGGGCGGGUAGGCGGCCACCGCAAGUCAGUUGUGAAAUCUCCGGGCUUAACCCGGAAAGGUCAAUCGAUACUGCGGGGCUAGAGUGCAGAAGGGGCAACUGGAAUUCUCGGUGUAGCGGUGAAAUGCGUAGAUAUCGAGAGGAACACCUGCGGCGAAGGCGGGUUGCUGGGCUGACACUGACGCUGAGGCGCGAAAGCGUGGGUAGCAAACGGG